rnacentral:lncRNA from 1 species
GGCACGAUAUGCUAAAGUUAGUUCACCCAUGCCUUCCCCUGCAUAAUAUAUACGCAAACAUUAAUUAUCUAGGCAAGUUAUGCUAAAAAGAUAUCAUUGCAUAAAAUAGUAUUUACCACAAAACUCUACAACUUAAAUUAGCCGCAGUUAUGAGUUGCAGAUUCCAAAAGUAUCCUGAUAGAGUAAGGAAGUCUAUAUGGAGGUUGCUAUCAUGAUGAAAGUUCUUUUUUUAGUUGGUUCACGUUUGCUUUGUGUAAAAGUUGGACAAAAAAUACACUUUAAAGUUGUGUUGGAACUUGGUACUUGGAACAGAUUUAAUGGGAAGGUUAUUUAGUAAAUACAUUUUUCAAAAAAUCAAAACUCUCAUCAACCACACCCAAGCUCUUCCUUGAGACUAAUUCAACACAAGAAAAAAGCCACAAACACACCCAUGAAAAGUGGCACCAGCACAAUAAUGAAACAUCACUAAAAAUGGCCCCAAUGCCGAUAAGCAAUAAAAGUAAUAGAAUUUGUGACCCAGGUAGUUGAAUUGAAUAGCACUAAGAAGCGGGGUGAACUUGUGUUUACAUGUGUAGCCCAGAAAAAUAAACUAAGAUUUAUAUCCAAGCUUGAAUUUCAUUUUUUUAAUAGAACAACCAACAAAAGAAAAAUAAGAAAUGGUGUGUGUAUAUAUAAAGAAACUGGACUAAAAAAGGAAGACAAAUCACGGAAGAGAAGACCUAGACCUCUCCAUGGAAUCGACAAACAGAGUUGGCAUGACUGGACAGUGAGAACUGGACAAAGGGGAGCAGAUCUGGACAGUGAACAGUGGCUAGUGAAAAUUUACCUAAAAGUUAAACUAUCUGUUCAACUAAUCAUCUACUACGAAAAGGCAUUGACAAUCAUUCAUGGAUUGCAAUACAAAGAAACAAGCACUUUUCAUAUGAAUAGAAGCAUACCUCUCUCCAUCUUUCAUGUUAUCAUGAUCAUCAACCCAAAACAGAUUGAGCAUGCAUAGACAGCACUGCAUUGAUCUGGCUUUUUUAAAAGCUUUGUUGAAUAUUGUCCAGUGAAACGGCACCAGAUUAGGAUUUAGUAGAGAAGUAAAUAUGAGCACCCC